AGCCUGAACGCUGGCGGCGUGGCUAAGACAUGCAAGUCGAACGGAUGUAGCAAUACAUCAGUGGCGGACGGGUGAGUAAUAAAUCGCUAAUGUACCCCGGAGCCAGGGAUAGCUGCCCGAAAGGGCAGGUAAUACCUGAUGAGACCACAACACCGCAUGGUGAAGUGCUCAAAGCCGUAAGGCACUCUGGGAGCAGGCGAUUACGUAUCAGCUUGUUGGUGAGGUAACGGCUCACCAAGGCGACGACGCGUAGCUGGUCUGAGAGGACGGCCAGCCACAUUGGGACUGAGACACUGCCCAGACUCCUACGGGGGGCUGCAGUAACGAAUCUUCCGCAAUGCACGAAAGUGUGACGGAGCGACGCCGCGUGUAGGAUGAAGUCCUUCGGGAUGUAAACUACUGUCAGGGGAAAGAAGUUCUGAUCUACCCCAGAGGAAGAGACGGCUAACUCUGUGCCAGCAGGCCGCGGUAAU
rnacentral:rRNA from 1 species